AGCGAACGCUGGCGGCAGGCUUAACACAUGCAAGUCGAGCGGGCACUUUCGGGUGUCAGCGGCGGACGGGUGAGUAACGCGUGGGAACGUGCCCUCUGGUUCGGAAUAACUCAGGGAAACUUGAGCUAAUACCGGAUACGCCCCUUUGGGGAAAGGCUUGCUGCCGGAGGAUCGGCCCGCGUCUGAUUAGCUAGUUGGUGAGGUAACGGCUCACCAAGGCGACGAUCAGUAGCUGGUCUGAGAGGAUGAUCAGCCACACUGGGACUGAGACACGGCCCAGACUCCUACGGGAAGCAGCAGUGGGGAAUAUUGGACAAUGGGCGCAAGCCUGAUCCAGCCAUGCCGCGUGAGUGAUGAAGGCCUUAGGGUUGUAAAGCUCUUUUAUCCGGGACGAUAAUGACGGUACCGGAGGAAUAAGCCCCGGCUAACUUCGUG
rnacentral:rRNA from 1 species